AUCCUCUCCUCAGCAGCACAUGUACUAAAAUUGAAACGAUACAGAGAUUAGCAUGGCCCCUGCACAAGGAUGACACACAAAUUUGUGAAGCAUUCCAUAUAUAU
ensembl:snRNA U6 U6 spliceosomal RNA